rnacentral:rRNA from 1 species
AACGAACGCUGGCGGCAUGCCUAACACAUGCAAGUCGAACGAGACCUUCGGGUCUAGUGGCGCACGGGUGCGUAACGCGUGGGAACCUGCCCUUAGGUUCGGAAUAACUCCCCGACAGGGGUGCUAAUACCGGAUAAUGUCUUCGGACCAAAGAUUUAUCGCGCUAGGAUGGGCCCGCGUUGGAUUAGCUAGUUGGUAGGGUAAUAGCCUACCACGGCGACGAUCCAUAGCUGGUCUGAGAGGAUGGUCAGCCACACUGGGACGAAGACACGGCCCAGACUCCUACGGGAGGCAGCAGUGGGUAAUAUUGCAAAAUCGGCGAAAGGCUGAUCCAGCAAUGCCGGGUGAGUGCUGAAGGCCUUAGGGUAGUAAAGCUCUUUUACCCGUGAUCAUAAUGACAGUACCGGGAGAAUAAGCUCCGGCUAACUCCGUG